rnacentral:rRNA from 1 species
GACGAACUGUGCAAACGUUAUUCGGAAUCACUGGGCUUGAAGAGUGCGUAGGCGGUUUCGUAAGUAGGGUGUGAAAGCCCCCGGCUCAACCGGGGAACUGCGUCCUAAACUGCGGGGCUGGAGUGAGGUAGGGGUGUGUGAAACUUCCAGUGGAGCGGUGAAAUGUGUUGAUAUUGGAAGGAACGCCGGUGGCGAAAGCGACACACUGGGCCUUGUCUGACGCUGAGGCACGAAAGCCAGGGGAGCAAACGGG